AAAUAUGAAGCGAUUUAUUGCAAUUAGUUUCGACCUAAUCUUAGGUGAAAUACACCCAUAUUUU
rnacentral:tRNA from 1 species